rnacentral:lncRNA from 10 species
CUUCUUUCAAAUCCCUAUUUUAAUUAAUUUUUAAAAUUUUUUUGUAAGUGACUUCCAAUUUUUUUUUCCCUAGAAAGAUCCACCCAGGGAAUGCACAAAAGCAAGAAACACAAAGCAGACAGAGGAAUUAGUAAUGAAAAUCAAGCCCCUCAGCCAUCCCGUCCAACAACAGUCCUUCUCAGAGGUUGUCGCUUUGAACUACUUCAGUUUUCAAUUAUGUCAGUGGCCAAUAAUUUCAGGAAAUCCUACUGGAUCAUUCCUCCUCAUGUCUUCCCUCCCUCCAUCCUGCUCCCUUUCUUUCCGUUGUUUAGAGAAGAUUUUGUUUUUCUUCCUGGAAGGUAAACACCGGCUUACGUACCUCUCUGUGAACAGGGUAACUGGUCCAACGCUUCUUUUGCCAGAGAUCUUUUAAAGCCAUCAGAACUAUUGCUGCCUAAGACAUGCAUGGCAAAUAAAAGGGUCUCACUGGAUUUCAAAUAAGGGGAAUAAUCAAUGUUAAGUGCUGCCUUGUUGGAUUUCUUCCUGAUUUUUUUGAAGCUCCGGUAAGUUUUAUAAUUUCUCUUUUAUGCACUAAAUUGUGGGUAUACUCUAGAAUGUAUCUCAUCAUGAA